rnacentral:rRNA from 1 species
UUGAUCCUGGCUCAGAAUCAACGCUGGCGGCGCGCUUAACACAUGCAAGUCGAACGAGAAAGGGAGCAAUCCUGAGUAAAGUGGCGUACUGGUGAGUAAUACGUGGAUAUCUACCUCUUGGUGGGGAAUAACCUGGGGAAACCUGGGCUUAUACCGCAUAAGUUCGUGAGAAGAAAGGCGCAAGUCGCCGAGAGAGGAGUCCGCGGUCGAUUAGGUAGUUGGCGGGGUAAGAGCCCACCAAGCCAAAGAUCGAUAGCCGGCCUGAGAGGGCACACGGCCACACUGGCACUGAAACACGGUCCAGACUCCUACGGGAGGCAGCAGUGGGGAAUCUUGCACAAUGGGGGAAUCCCUGAUGCAGCGACGCCGCGUGAGCGAUGAAGCCCUUCGGGGUGUAAAUCUCUUUCGGCAGGAACGAUAAUGACGGUACCUGCAGAAGAAGCUGCGGCUAACUACGUGCCAGCAGCCGCGGUAAUU